rnacentral:rRNA from 1 species
GUAGUCAUAUGCUUGUCUCAAAGCUUAAGCCAUGCAAGUUUAAGUACAAACUAAAUUAAAGUAAAACCGCAAAAUGCUCAUUAAAUUAGUUAUAGUUUACUAGACUAUAUCAAGUUUGGAUAACUGUGGUAAUUCUAGAGCUAAUACACAUAACCAAGUCUUGACCUUUAAUGGAAGAGGCGCUUUUAUUAGAUCAAAACCAAUCGGACAGCUUGCUGUUCGUUAUUUUGAUGACUCUGAAUAACACCGCAGAUCGAACAGUCUUAGCACUGUCGACAUAUCUUUCAAAUGCCUGACUUAUCAACUGUCGAUGGUAGAUUAUAUGUCUACCAUGGUUAUAACGGGUAACGGGGAAUCAGGGUUCGAUUCCGGAGAGGGAGCCUGAGAAACAGCUACCACAUCCAAGGAAGGCAGCAGGCACGCAAAUUACCCACUCCCGGCACGGGGAGGUAGUGACAAAAAAUAACGAUACGGGACUCAUCCGAGGCCCCGUAAUCGGAAUGAGUACACUAUAAAUUCUUUAACAAAAAUCUAUUGGAGGGCAAGUCUGGUGCCAGCAGCCGCGGUAAUUCCAGCUCCAAUAGCGUAUAUUAAAGUUGUUGCGGUUAAAAAGCUCGUAGUUGGUUCUGUGUGCCAUGCUGUUGGUUCACCGCCUGCCGGUGCAACUGACAUGUCGUGGGACGUCCUGUCGGUGGCAAUUAAAGGCCUAUUGUUUAGCAGAGGCUUGCUUCUACUAAACUUAGGUUACUUUAAUUGCCGAUUAAAUCCUGCCGCGGUGCUCUUUACUGAGUGUCGAGGUGGGCCGACACGUUUACUUUGAACAAAUUAGAGUGCUCAAAGCAGGCAAAAGUCUGCCUGAAUAGAAGUGCAUGGAAUAAUAGAAUAAGACCUUGGUUCUAUUUUGUUGGUUUUCUGAAUCCAAGGUAAUGAUCAAUAUGGACAGGCGGGGGCAUUCGUAUUGCGACGUUAGAGGUGAAAUUCUUGGAUCGUCGCAAGACGAACUAGAGCGAAAGCAUUUGCCAAGUAUGUCUUAAUUGAUCAAGAACGAAAGUUAGAGGUUCGAAGGCGAUCAGAUACCGCCCUAGUUCUAACCAUAAACGAUGUCAGCCAGCGAUCCGCCGAUGUUUUUUUCAUGACUCGACGGGCAGCUUCCGGGAAACCAAAGCUUUUGGGUUCCGGGGGAAGUAUGGUUGCAAAGCUGAAACUUAAAGGAAUUGACGGAAGGGCACCACCAGAGGUGGAGCCUGCGGCUUAAUUUGACUCAACACGGGAAACCUCACCAGGCCCAGACAUUGGAAGGAUUGACAGAUCGAUAGCUCUUUCUUGAUUCAGUGGGUAGUGGUGCAUGGCCGUUCUUAGUUGGUGGGCCGACUUGUCCGGUUAAUUCCGAUAACGAACGAGACUCUGUCCUACUAACUAGGCGCUUGGUACUUUUGUUACCAGCGACUAUUUUCUUCUUAGAGGGACAGGCGGCUUACAGCCGCACGAGAUUGAGCAAUAACAGGUCAGUGAUGCCCUUAGAUGUUCUGGGCCGCACGCGCGCUACACUGAAGGAAUCAACGUGUGUUUCCCUGUCCGAAAGGACCGGGUAACCCGCUGAACCUCCUUCGUGCUAGGAAUUGGGGCUUGCAAUUUUUCCCCAUAAACGAGGAAUCUCCAGUAAGCGUGAGUCAUAAGCUCGCGUUGAUUACGUCCCUGCCCUUUGUCCACACCGCCCGUCGCUACUACCGAUUGAAUGAUUUAGUGAGGUCUUCAGACUGGUAAUAACAGUAAUUGCGUCAAGGCAUAUUAUGAUGUUGCCGGAAAGAUGACCAAACUUGAUCAUUUAGAGGAAGUAAAAGUCGUAACAAGGUUUCCGUAGGUGAACCUGCGGA